rnacentral:lncRNA from 1 species
GACCUCAUUAAUGGUGAGGUUGGAGGGCGAGAGAUCCCUCUGUAGCGCUGGACGCGCGGGUCGGAGCGCGACCUCACUUGACCUCAUCAAUGGUGAGGUCGGAGGAUGGAAAAUUUUUCCAUAGUGCAGGAUACGCAGGCCGGAGCCCGACCUCAUCUUGACCUCAAUACAGUUCAAAUGGUCUUUUGGUUUUUAAGAAUGUCCAAAUUGUAGAAGUCACGCUGCUUCUCAUACAAUAAGUAACCCCCAUCUUAGAAAACUGAAAAGAAUAUGAUCGUACUGAGUCCUAGUGCUAGGUUUUAAAUCACGUACCUUUACUUAAGUUGGGCCAUGCAUCACGCUGGGUUCAUGAAUAAAGAGCACGGAUUUGAAGCUUAUUUAAGGCUUGGAAAGCAGGGCAUCAUAUCUGUUCAGGACAACCACCUUAGCCUAUAAUGAUUUCAUGUGGACCUCAACUUGGAGAACAUGUCCCAGUUUCGCUGUUUGGCGUCCCGCUUUGGAUCUAAAUGUGACGUCCAAAAUGGCAAACAUGGAGAGGAGAGCCUUGCACUCCAAACCAGCUUAGAAUAGAUGGCUACCCCAUGGCCCGAUUUUGUGCAAGUGCCUUUCCACCGACAAUCGGGUUAAAUUCGCUAACCAAAGUGGGUGCGUUUCCAUUCUUGACAGUCUAAUAAUUCUAGCCGAAAAACUCGGAAAAAGUUUUGGUUCCGCCUCUUCUGCCAUUAAAUAUACGAAUGGCCUGGCUUAUAAAUGAACAUUACUGAUUGAGGAGAGAACAGGACUUCGUGUCAGGUACGUUACAUGUGACACCUAAUGAUCAAGUACAGAGAUAGCUAAGAUUCAAACCAUCCAAAUUUAAAAUUACUGAGGCAUCCAAAAAAUAAAGCAGUAACUUCAACAUUGUUUAUAAGGUUAGAGAUUCUGGGAUCAUUCAAAUAAUUACCUCAUAUGAGAGAGAGAGAGAGAGAACAAAAAAUUACAUUCUACACCACACACAGCACGUUGCGGUGGUGUCUUGAAUUGAGAUCAAUAGAAACGAGACGAGAUGAUUGGUAUGGUAUAUCACGAUAG